ACUACGGGGGGCUGCAGUGGGGAAUAUUGCACAAUGGGCGCAAGCCUGAUGCAGCCAUGCCGCGUGUGUGAAGAAGGCCUUCGGGUUGUAAAGCACUUUCAGCGGGGAGGAAGGCGUUAAGGUUAAUAACCUUGGCGAUUGACGUUACCCGCAGAAGAAGCACCGGCUAACUCCGUGCCAGCAGCCGCGGUAAUACGGAGGGUGCAAGCGUUAAUCGGAAUUACUGGGCGUAAAGCGCACGCAGGCGGUCUGUCAAGUCGGAUGUGAAAUCCCCGGGCUCAACCUGGGAACUGCAUUCGAAACUGGCAGGCUAGAGUCUUGUAGAGGGGGGUAGAAUUCCAGGUGUAGCGGUGAAAUGCGUAGAGAUCUGGAGGAAUACCGGUGGUGAAGGCGGCCCCCUGGACAAAGACUGACGCUCAGGUGCGAAAGCGUGGGGAGCAAACAGGAUUAGAUACCCCAGUAGUC
rnacentral:rRNA from 1 species